GUGGUAGCAAGCUUGGCCCCCUCUGGUUGCUAUGGGACCUGCUGUGGGCCUCUUGCUGGUUAGUCACUCAGUGUGGGUUUGCAUUGUGGGUGGUGAAGGGGGCCAGACAAGGAAACGAGAGAGCUGACCUCAAUUCCAACUGAGAACUGAAGAGUCAGGAGCCGCAGGAGGGUGGACAGCACGGAAGAGGCAGUACAUCUUAACAAAAUCAGGGUUCUGGAUGAAGGGAGGGGUGGUGAAUGGUUGCUGCAAUCAACAGUUCAUACUUCAAUGGAAAGAAGGUGGGAUUUGAUUCCUGGCUGCAAAUCUUCACUCUGUCACCUGCUAUCUGUGUGCCCUCAGUCUCCCAUCAAGGAGUGAUGUCUGUUUCUCCACUUCUUGAAUCUGGGCUGGCCUUGCCAAUAGCAUAUGGCAGAAGUGACAUCGUUCCAUUUCUGAGUCAAAGCCUGAGGAGGCCUUGCAUGCUUCUACUCUCUCUUGCAACCCUGCACUGCCACAUAUCAACAAGACUUAUCAACAAGCCUGGGAUAGCCUGCUAGAUGAUGAAAGAAAUAUGGCCCGCUUGCUCCCAUCACUCCAGCUGAUAGCCAGGCAACCCUAAGAAGCAAAGUCACCUAGCUGAUUAGUAGCUGACCACUGACACAAAAGUAAGAUCAUCUGAGACCAGAAGACAGCCCAUCUGAG
rnacentral:lncRNA from 1 species